rnacentral:rRNA from 1 species
GACGAACCGGACUAACGUUAUUCGGAAUCACUGGGCUUAAAGGGUGCGUAGGCGGCUCAGAAAGUUGGGUGUGAAAGCCCUCGGCUCAACCGAGGAAUUGCGCCCAAAACUACUGAGCUCGAGGGACACAGAGGUAAGCGGAACUUAGGGUGGAGCGGUGAAAUGCGUUGAUAUCCUAAGGAACACCAGGAGCGAAAGCGGCUUACUGGGUGUCUUCUGACGCUGAGGCACGAAAGCUAGGGGAGCGAACGGG